AAAGGAAUAGACGGGGGCCCGCACAAGCGGUGGAGCAUGUGGUUUAAUUCGAUGCAACGCGAAGAACCUUACCAGGGCUUGACAUCCCGCUGAAGACGCCAGAGAUGGCGUCGGCCUUCGGGACAGCGGUGACAGGUGGUGCAUGGUUGUCGUCAGCUCGUGUCGUGAGAUGUUGGGUUCAGUCCCGCAACGAGCGCAACCCUUGUCUCUAGUUGCCAGCAUUCAGUUGGGCACUCUAGAGAGACAGCCGGUGAAAGCCGGAGGAAGGUGGGGAUGAGGUCAAAUCAUCAUGCCCCUUAUGCCCUGGGCUACACACGUGCUACAAUGGCUGGUACAAAGGGUCGCGAAACCGCGAGGUGGAGCCAAUCCCAAAAAGCCAGUCUCAGUUCGGAUCGCAGGCUGCAACUCGCCUGCGUGAAGCUGGAAUCGCUAGUAAUCGCGGAUCAGCAUGCCGCGGUGAAUACGUUCCCGGGCCUUGUACACACCGCCCGU
rnacentral:rRNA from 1 species